UAAGUAGGCGGAGGAGAAGACAUUAAAUAAGAGUCCCUUAGUAGUGGCGAACGAACAGGGAUUGGCUCACCCUAAGAAUCAGGGCCUCAGGUCAUGAAUUGUAGUCUCUAGAUGUGUUGCCAUCAGGGGUGCUGAUGCAAGCCUCUUGAGAAAGAGCAUUCGCAAGGGUGACAAUCCCGUGAGAUAUUGGUAAUCCCCUGGGCAUGGCAUGCAAUCUAAGAGUCACGUUCCUUGAAAAUGGAGUGCAAAAUAGGUGGUAAAUGUCAUCUCAAGCUAAGCAGGGCCUUGAGACCGAUAGGGAACAAGUACCAUGAGGGAAAGAUGAAAAGGACUUUGGAAGGAGAGUUAAAAGUGCCUGAAGUUGCUGAAUGUGAAGCAAACUGAACUAUUGCUGCUUGGCGAGACUGUCGCGCGCUGAUGUGAUGGCUUAUUGAGGCAAUGCAAAUUCCUCAAGAGGUUGUAUCUGAAAGCGCACAAUGUUUCUCGCCCUGCGUGUCAUCUGCAGAUCUGCACUGAGCAUGACGCCAUUCACAUGAAAGUCGCUUAUAAGUGAUUGAAAGUGGUGGUAGGAGCUUGUUGCCGUUCUGUUGAUUGGUGUGCCCUUCGGGCACGCUGGGGAUGACCAAAUGGUUCUAUUUGACCCGUCUUNNNNNNCGNNNCNAGGANUCUGGCACAUGUGCAAGUUCUUGAGCAGCAAAGUUUAAGUGCACUAUGAAAGUAUCUGCUAGGAUCUUCUGCUCCAGCAACUGACCGUUCAAGUGAGAGAGGUUUGAGUGUGAGCAUGCGUGCCAGGACCCGAAAGAUGGUGAACUAUGCCUGAGAAGGGCAAACUCAGGGGAAACUCUGAUGGAGGCUUGCAGCGCUACUGACGUGCAAAUCGUUCGUCAUACUUGGGUAUAGGGGCGAAAGACUAAUCGAACCAUCUAGUAGCUGGUUCCCUCCGAAGUUUCCCUCAGGAUAGCUGGAGUUUCACAGUUUCAUCAGGUAAAGCAAAUGAUUAGAGGAAUUGGGGAUGUGUCAUCUUCGACCUAUUCUCAAACUUUAAAUGGGUAAGAGCCAGACGUUGCUUGCGUGAACGUCUGGGAAAAAUGAUUCCUCCAAGUGGGCCGUUUUUGGUAAGCAGAACUGGCGAUGAGGGAUGAACCUAACGUCAGGCUAAGGUGCUUAACUGCUCGCUCAUCAGAUACCAUAAAGGGUGUUGGUUCAUAUUAACAGCAGGACGGUGGUCAUGGAAGUUGAAACCCGCCAAGGAGUGUGUAACAACUCACCUGCCGAAUGGACUAGCCCCGAAAAUGGAUGGCGCUUAAGCGGGUGACUGAUUCUUGACCACUCUUGCAAUUUGUCGUUUUGAGUGAGUAGGAGGGCAUGGAGAUUGUGUGAUGCAGCCUCUGGCGUGAGCCUGGGUGAAG
rnacentral:rRNA from 1 species